UUGAAGGUCACCCUACUACUUUCCUGGUUGACACAGGUGCAGCCCGCAGUGUUCUUAGAGAACAAGACCUGCCUGACCCAUCAAUCCUGUCUGACACCGAUGUCAAUGUUGGUGUUGAUGGUACUUCCCGCAGUAACCCACUCACUAAACUCCUCCAUGUGGAUUCUGAUAUCCUUUCCCGGUUUGUUGUCUCCUCCACAUGUCCCAUUAACCUCUUGGGUGCUGAUGUCCUAUCCCGCCUCCAAGCAUCCAUCACCCUCACUGCAGACGGCCAGGUUCAAUUAAAUACACCUUUGUCACGAAAAGACAGUACAGUUCUUUGUUCCCUUCCCAUUUUACUUGGAGAUGACAUCCCCACGACAGAAAAAUGUUCUCUGGACCUCCUUUGUUAUCUUGCAGAUCAGGGGUGUAAGGCAUCUCUUGUCAAACUUCAAUUUUGCCAGGCCAUAGUAAUCUUUCUAGGCCAUUGCCUGUCCCAUGGCACCAGACACCUCACCUGUGAUCGUGGCCAUUCCGCCUCCAAAAACUCCUAAAUCCCUCCACACCUUUCUAGGCCUCAUUUCUUACUGCCGAGUGUGGAUCCCAGAGGCCUCUCUACUCUGUCUGUCCUCAGAAGCACAUGACAACUUCUACACUCUCCAACGUGCUAUUGCCUCUGCUCCCG